AUAGAACUUUACUUGCUCUGAUAUCAUUAGUUGCUAAUUAUUUCACUUCUUUUAUUUGCUCUAUCUCCUGCUUUACUUCCGCUUUUAUUGUAGACGCCUUAUAUGUGUAGACAUAUGGCGGGUCUGGGCACGCUACCGGGAAGGCCUUCGCCGGUCCCGGGGCGUGACAGAUUAAAUUGGUAUCAGAGCCUAGGGUUGAGUCUUAGUGGACCUAGCAAACCUUAGGCCGGUUGGACUGUAGGAAAUAGGCUCGUGAGAGACGAGGUCUA
rnacentral:lncRNA from 1 species